rnacentral:sRNA from 1 species
AUAACAUUUGUAGCAGGUGAAGUUCUAUUGUAUAUCCAAAGAACAGGACAAUGGGAGUGCAAGCUUCCCCACUCUGCCCUACUAUUGUGCCUCUGCACUGACCUGGAGGGAUCAUCUCUAGGGCUGAAGGCAGUUCACUCUCCAUCCAUGUUCCCUCUCAGUUUUU